GGACUUUUGGUGGAGGAACCAGACUGGAUGUCGGAGGUGAAGCCCGUCCCACCUUGAUGGUUCUGCCCCCUUCCAAUGAGGAGCUGCAGCAGGGGAAGGCCACGCUCGUGUGCCUGGCCAACAAGGGCUUCCCCUCAGACUGGAGUCUGGCCUGGAAGGUGGACGGCAUCAGCGGCGGCAGCUGGGAGGAGAGCAGGGGCCCUGCGGUGAUGGAGCAGGACGCUCGUUACAGCUGGAGCAGCACCCUGAGGCUCUCUGCAGGCCAGUGGACGAAGGUGGGCUCUGUGACCUGUGAGGCCACCCAGGGCUCCCAGACGCUGGUCUCAGAGACACUGAGGAGGGACCAGUGUUCCCAGGACUGAGCUGUAUCACCUGGACUCUGCUGCUGGUUUCUCCCUGCUGUUGUUUCACUUCUGAAACUGCCCUCAGUUUGCACGCUAAAUGCCUUCUUUCCCUCUCUAUGAUUUUAUGUUUCAACGUUA